CCUCCCGCGGCCCGCCGCCCCCGGGGCCCGUCCGCUCGCCGAAGCUCCCGGUCCCUACGUGUGACCCCUGACCCUCGCCCCGGAAGUCGAGGUGGCUCGGAAGUUCCGGCUCGGUCGCUAGGAAACGGGUCAACCGACGUGCGGGGCGGGGCUUCUCGUCCGGCCGGCGGGCUAGGGGAGGCAGGUGAGGCAGGUGAGGCAGCGGGGGCGGCGUCAAGCCCGGGGCGGGGCCCGGGACCCUGCGAGCGCAGGGUGUCCCCCGCCAUACUCGGGCACCCCCUGACCUGAUGCCCUCACGGAGGACCCACCGCCGCCGCCACCCCGCACACAACACUCACAGGAAAACUAGCAGUGACAGGGGGGUCCCCAGAGCUGCACCGGGGAGGUGGCAGACAUCCCUCCCCGAAGCCAAGCCCGGAGCCCGGAGAGCCAUUGCCGCCAGGAGAGCACCGCCAGCCGCGGAGGAAGACCGCUC
rnacentral:lncRNA from 1 species